CCCUUAGAUGUUCUGGGCUGCACGCGCGCUACACUGAUGCGCUCAACGAGUUUUAACCUUGCCUGGAAAGGUUGGGUAAUCUUUUUAAAACGCAUCGUGAUGGGGAUAGAUUAUUGCAAUUAUUAAUCUUCAACGAGGAAUUCCUAGUAAGCGCGAGUCAUCAGCUCGUGCUGAUUACGUCCCUGCCCUUUGUACACACCGCCCGUCGCUCCUACCGAGUGAGUGAUCCGGUGAAUAAUUCGGACUGCGGCAUUGACCGGUUCCCGAUCGUUGCUGCGGAAAGUUUAGUGAACCUUAUCACUUAGAGGAAGGAGAAGUCGUAACA
rnacentral:rRNA from 1 species